UGCAAGUCGUACGAGAACACCCUAGCUUGCUAGGGUAAGUAAAGUGGCGCACGGGUGAGUAACGCGUGGGUAAUCUACCUUCGAAUUGUGGAUAACGUUGCGAAAGCGACGCUAAUACCGAAUAACAUCCAUUAAUCUUCGGGUUUUUGGAUCAAGGGUGGCCUCUACAUGUAAGCUACUGUUUGAAGAUGAGCCCGCGUACCAUUAGCUUGUUGGUGGGGUAAUGGCCUACCAAGGCAGCGAUGGUUAGCUGGUCUGAGAGGAUGAUCAGCCACACUGGAACUGACACACGGUCCAGACUCCUACGGGAGGCAGCAGUGAGGAAUUUUGCGCAAUGGGGGAAACCCUGACGCAGCAACGCCGCGUGAGUGAUGAAGGCUUUCGGGUCGUAAAGCUCUGUCAAGUGGGAAGAACCUGCAGUAUGCUAACAUCAUAUUGCACUGACGGUACCACUGAAGGAAGCACCGGCUAACUCCGUG
rnacentral:rRNA from 1 species